rnacentral:rRNA from 1 species
AAUAUAGCUUAAUCAAAGCAUCUCGCUUACACCGAGAAAAUACCUGUUAAACUCAGAUUACCACGAGCCAAAAAUCUAGCCCAAACCCAAAUUAAUGGUAACAACACCCAACAUACACAAACUAAACCAUUCUUAUAUUCUAGUAAAGGAGAUUGAAACCCUUUUAGGAGCUAUAUUUUGUACCGCAAGGGAAUGAUGAAAUAAAAAUGAAACAGACAUAAAGCGCAAUAAAGUAGAGACUAACUCUCGUACCUUUCGCAUCAUGGUUUAACUAGUUUAACCAAGCAAAAAGAUCUAAAGUUUGACCUCCCGAAACUAAGCGAGCUACUUCAAGGCAGCUUUAUGAGCAAACCCGUCUCUGUUGCAAAAGAGUGGGAAGACCUUCAAGUAGAGGUGAUAGACCUACCGAGCUUAGUGAUAGCUGGUUGCUUGAGAAAAGGAUUUUAGUCC